GAUCGUCCGGCGGGACGGCACGAUGCGCGCGCUCGCGAUCCGCGGCGAGGUGUUCCACGCCCCCGACGGCCGCC
rnacentral:tRNA from 1 species